rnacentral:rRNA from 1 species
UACGUAGGGUGCGAGCGUUGUCCGGAAUUACUGGGCGUAAAGAGCUCGUAGGUGGUUUGUCGCGUUGUUCGUGAAAACUCACAGCUCAACUGUGGGCGUGCGGGCGAUACGGGCAGACUGGAGUACUGCAGGGGAGACUGGAAUUCCUGGUGUAGCGGUGGAAUGCGCAGAUAUCAGGAGGAACACCGGUGGCGAAGGCGGGUCUCUGGGCCGAUACUGACACUGAGGCGCGACAGCGUGGGGAGCAAACAGG